rnacentral:rRNA from 1 species
AGUGAACGCUGGCGGUAGGCCUAACACAUGCAAGUCGAACGGCAGCACAGUAAGAGCUUGCUCUUACGGGUGGCGAGUGGCGGACGGGUGAGGAAUACAUCGGAAUCUACUUUUUCGUGGGGGAUAACGUGGGGAAACUUACGCUAAUACCGCAUACGACCUACGGGUGGAAGCAGGGGAUCUUCGGACCUUGCGCGAUUGAAUGAGCCGAUGUCGGAUUAGCUAGUUGGCGGGGUAAAGGCCCACCAAGGCGACGAUCCGUAGCUGGUCUGAGAGGAUGAUCAGCCACACUGGAACUGAGACACGGUCCAGACUCCUACGGGAGGCAGCAGUGGGGAAUAUUGGACAAUGGGCGCAAGCCUGAUCCAGCCAUACCGCGUGGGUGAAGAAGGCCUUCGGGUUGUAAAGCCCUUUUGUUGGGAAAGAAAAGCAGCAGGUUAAUACCCCGCUGUUCUGACGGUACCCAAAGAAUAAGCACCGGCUAACUUCGUG